GAAGUCGCUUGCACCUGCUAGCUGACGUCUGAGAGCCGGAGAAAGGCUGCCAUGCGUCUUACAACAGUUAAGGCGGUGUGAGCGGAAGAGGGGAGAGACGCCCGUCAACUGGGCGAAACCAAGAGAGGCCCACCGCACUGGUGAGGCCGCCCUGCCUCCCAGCCUGCCUGGGUUCUGAGGUCGUAGGGGAGACAGCGGCUCGCGGAGAGACGCAGAAGGGAACCAAGGCCACUGCUGAACCUGUUACUACCGUGGACCAUUGCCUUGCUCGGUGCUAGUGAUGAUUUAAGAACACCCAAGUCCUUUUGUUGCCAAGUCAUCUUAGAUGCCCGACUUCAUCUUUGAUCUCAAUUGGAAGAAAGCAAAAAGGAAUGUGUCCCACCUCUGUGCCUGCGUGUUGACUGAGGCACUGUCCUCUAAAGCCGGGAGAUGUCUACACACACGUGACUCACAAGUGGCAAAGAUGACUGGCAGGCUAUCCCAUCAGAGUGUGCUCCAUCCCUUCUGUACCACCCUGUGCUGUGCCAGCGCCCAUACAGCCGGACAGAAACGCAAAGUGCUGGGAAAGGCUCGGGCCCAAUCAGCCAGGUCAUCACGUCUAGAGCAAGGAGCGUGUGAUUGACUUAGGGCCAAACUCAAGUUCCCUGGAUGCCAGAAAAUCCUUAUCUCCAAGAAGUGAGGCUUUCCCAAUUUAACUGUCAGUUUGAGGUUAUGGCAGCUGAGUAAACACACCGUUGGCUGUAGAGUCAAAAAUCAACCCAAAUGUGGUCUCUUGUGUAAGACCUGGGACCUGCUUCGUGGGGGAACCCAUGCAUGUUCUCUCUCCAAGGAACUCCUCCGGCCAGCCUCAUUCUACUUAUACCCACCAGUAACCUGUCUGUCUGUCUCCCUGUCUAUCUGUCUGUCUGUCUGUCUCUCUCUCUCUUUCACUCUCACACAUACACACAUGUACACACCAGGUUUUUAUUAAAUAUUGUUGCAUAUUCCCGCAGAACCUCCAGAGAACCUGGCUCAGAGGCCAUGGGUUCAGAGGCACCACUGAAGUUCCACUGCAGCCCUGGGCUGGUGGAGCUCCCACCGUGGCUACUUUGGGCCAGACACCCCGGCCCCACAGCUGGCGCUGGGCGCAGGGAUGCUACCGCAGGGACCUCUGCCUUUGUUGUCUCUGGAAGCCGAGCACUCCUGCUGCUGCUCUCUCCCGGGCGGAUUCCUUGUGGCAACUAGCUUCCCUUUCAAAGUCCCGCCCGCCCAGGCAUGACUGAGUGGCGGAGCCUGUGCCACGACGAAAUACAGUUUUAAGCUUCUGCCACAAACUGGAGAAAUCUCCAGACAGAGAUAGGCAAAGGAUCACAGUGGUCAAAAAGAAUUUUUAAAUGCCCACUAUACUUCUGAGGAUGGCUUUUUGGGAAUAGGUCCAGUGCAUUGAGGGUUCUGAUCCAGUGUUAAGUCUGCUUUUCCCCUCUUUGCAGAUCAACUUCGCAUUUCCACCCAUAUUGUCUAUGUUCCUGAGUCCUCACACACACCAUUUAUCAACCAUUCCCCCCGCACUGGCCUCUCCGGAAGAGUUUCGCUUGGUCGCAAAAGUACAACUCAAAUCACUGCCAAUGCAAGACGUGCUUUUCUCUUUCCUAGGGAGAAGGGAUCCUUUAGUUUUUAAAAACACACGGCAGGAAGCAAAAAAAAAAUAAAAAAAAAUUGAGGGAGAAUAUGAGUCAACUCAUAUUACAA